rnacentral:rRNA from 1 species
AUAUUGCGCAAUGGGGGAAACCCUGACGCAGCGACGCCGCGUGAACGAUGAAGGCCUUCGGGUCGUAAAGCUCUGUCCUUGGGGAAGAAGGUCUUCGGACUUGACGGUACCCAAGAAGAAAGCCCCGGCUAACUACGUGCCAGCAGCCGCGGUAAUACGUAGGGGGCGAGCGUUGUCCGGAAUUACUGGGCGUAAAGGGUGCGUAGGCGGCCCUUUAAGUCAGAUGUGAAAGGCCACGGCUUAACCGUGGGAUUGCAUUUGAAACUGGAGGGCUUGAGUGUCGGAGAGGGUAGUGGAAUUCCCAGUGUAGCGGUGAAAUGCGUAGAUAUUGGGAGGAACACCAGUGGCGAAGGCGACUACCUGGACGAUAACUGACGCUGAGGCACGAAGGCUAGGGGAGCAAAC